AUCGCACUAUAGAUAUUUAUGAAUUUAUUGAAAAUUAAAAGAUAUAGGAAUGCACAUAAUAUACAGAUAUAGAAAAUCCGAAAUGCACUAAUUGUUAUAUGUAAUACAUAUAAUGCAUUUAGUGGAAGAAGCAAAUCUUCGAUGGGCUUCCUUUCCUCUAGCAUUGCUCGUAAAAAUUUGGAUUUGCAUAAACAUCAGUAGGUUACUAAUUAUUUAUCGUAGGAACAUAUAAUAAUAUUUACGUCAAUCAUAACAAUUGUAUUGAACGAUGUUUACAGAUACAAUGUAUAUAAUACAUGCUAAUUAAGAAAUCUCAGAAUCCUCAGAAACAUUCAGAAACUGUAAGGAACCGAAAACUAAACACGUAACAUAAAACCGCGAAAAUUAUAAUUUUCUUGCCACCACGCAGCCGUUUUUAAACGAAAUGCGCGAUGAACGUGCGGUGUGGCAGUCAUCCACCUCAUCAUCCCCUUUGUUUGCCGCCGCUCCUGUGUUAUCAUCAUCCUCGUGCUUCCUCCGACGAGAUCGACGCUUCCACACAUCGUCGUACACGUAACCCGUAUUCGAAGCCUGGCCAGACAACCUGGCAACGUUGUAAAACCCAUUCUUCUACCUUCCCCUCUCUCACCUGUUACCUGUCCAACGUCCCCACCGUACGAACACCUAUGAUUGUCUCUGUUUCGCCUGCACGAAAAAUCUUUUCCUCUUCGUUCAUCGUUGCCUGCGGACAAUCAGGUAAACGUAAACCCAGGCCUGGUGUACCGUCACUUCACGCUCGGUUCUUGAAUCAGUCGAGGCAACGCCGUCGAGACGCGUGCUGCUUCUACCUUUCUUCGAUCGAUCGAUCGCCUAUCGCGAGUAGGUACGACGUAGUUUCGAUUCGUGACGAUUUCGAGCGAGUUUGGAAGUUUAAAGACGACGGGAUCUCUGGGAUUUGGUUCGUGACAUAGGAAGUACGGCUUUGCUGAGCUUGAGAAAUCGGCUGAGGGAUUCUGAGAGAAUCUAAAAAAGCCACAGGGACUAAGAAAAAGAGAUCAUGGAAUCCUGGUUGAGCGACGUGCAGCGUGUACGAAUUCCACGGCCGAAAUUCGGUAGCGGGAACUCGGUGAGACGGUCGAAUUCCACGGUACAGCACGUGCGACCGGAAGUGCUCUCGCGGCAGACGCAGGACGUGGCUAAGGCCACAGAAGAGUUACGACAAGCUCUCCAAGACAAGCUUUGACUGGCCGAUCAUCGAUAAGGGACCAGCAAAAAUUGAUCGAGCAAAACACAUUCGAGUUCGAGAGUCAUCGUUGUAUAAGAUUCUGUACCAGGCCGUCGCUUUGUCGCCUGUCCACUUUCUUCCGCCAUAACCAGAGGACGAAUCGUUGUUUCGUGUUAUUUCGUGACAUGUUCCGUUCCAGACUCGCGACAAAGCCAUUCUUGCGAAAAGGACAAUAGAACUCGACGCUCGAGGAUGAAUGUUGUCGGACUUCCGGAUUUCGCCGAGUGAUGAUGAUGAACUGUGCUCGAGAAAAGUCGCGAAUGGGGGAAACGGAGCGUUUGGUACGUCUGUGAAGGUGGAUGCUGAAUAUUGUCGAAACGUGAAUGUUGAUGACAGUGUAAUAGAACGGUGGUUGGUCGGAUUUUUCAAUGAGAAUUUAAUAGAAAUAUUCGUAAGCUUGGAAAUAAUUUUCAGAGCGAACGCUCAUGCAAAUUCGUGUUUUUACAAGCAGAUAGAAGGACCGAUAUAAAGAAUUCAAACUUGAAUAGGAGCAUUGAAUGAAACUACUCAUUUAUAUUGUUAGGAGACAGUAAUGUUCGAAUAACUAGCGUUCUAUUGCGUGUGGUCUAUCGUCUGAAACGUGUGUGAAUACGAGUCAGUAUUAGGAAUCAUAUUUGUUCUCUGUGAAACUACAUUCGGCGAGGCUAUGUACAGUUUGCCAGUAGUCGCUUUCUGUUACGAUUUCCAUAUCAAAACCAUGCUUCCUUCGAACCUUUUGUAAUUUAUGCACGCGACGUUUGUUUCUUCUUUCAAUGUUAAAAAGAGACUGAAAGAUAAAAACCUGUUGAAACCGUAAA